rnacentral:lncRNA from 9 species
GCAGAGUUGAGUAGUUGUGAGAGAGACUACAUGGCCCAAACCCUAAAAUAUUUAUUAUCUGGGUCUUUAAGAAAAAGUUUGCCAGCAAGUUCCCAUUGUGGCUUAGUGGGUUAAGAACCCGACUAGUAUCCAUGAGGAUGCAGGUUUGAUCCUUGGCCUCAGUGGGUUAGGGAGCCGGCUUUGCCACGAGCUGCAGCUUAGUCGCAUAUGCAGCUUGGACCUGGCGUGACUAUGGCUGUGGCGUAGGCCAGCAGCUGCACCUCUGAUUUGACCCCUAGCCUGGGAACUUACGCAUGCCACAGGUAUGGCCCUAAAAAAGAAAAAAAAAUUUUUCUGAUUGUGAUUUUCCAUAUUUUCCAAAUGUUACAAAGAAGAACAGAAUUAUCCAGAUUAUUUUUACCCAGGAUAACCGUUGUUAUUUUGGCAUACACAUACCCAUACAUAUAUAAAUGAAAAUUACGCUGUAUAGACAGUUUUUCAUAAGAAUAACAUAAGAAUAAAGUAGUAAAUGUUUAUUACACAAACUUCAGACAGUACAUAAAGGUAUAAAGAAUUAAUUGAUAUUUACAUGUAAUCCCCAAAACUAGAAAUACUAAUGUGUAUGCAUAUUAUUAGGCUGGUUUCAUUUCACAUUUCAUUACUUUAUUCCUCUAGUGGUUGGUUUGAACAUCUUUUUAUUUAACAAUUCUUUUUUUUUUCCCCUUUGACUUGUCUGUUCAUGUCCUUUAUUUUUCUAUUGGAUGGUUGGUCAUUUUCCUACUUGUUUGUAUACACUUUUUGUAGGUAUGUUUUUGUAUCAGCUGUGAGAACAGUAAAAAUAUUUGUACCCACUUUGUCAUCUGUCUUUUGACUUGUCUUAUAGAUACUUUGUUUUUAUGAGGUCAAAUAUAUCAAACUUUUCUUUAAUGGCUCUUGAGAAUUAAAUAGCAGUUGCUUCCUCAUUGGAAACUCAUAAAAGUUUAUAGAAAAGUCAAUAGAAGAAUUUUCUCAUGGUUUUUUUCUGGUACUUUUGAGGUUUCAUUUAUUUUUAAAAAAACAUGUAAGGAGUUCCCAUCAUGACGCAGCAGAAACGAAUCCAACUAGGAACCAUGAGGUUGUGGGUUCAAUCCCUGGCAUUGCUGUGAGCUGUUGUGGGUCGAAUUGGAGCUACAGCUGCUGGCCUGUGCCACAGCCACAGCAACUUGGAAUCUGAACCACGUCUGCAACCUACACCACAGCUCAUGGUAGUGCCCGAUCCCCAGCCCACUGAGCAAGGCCAGGGAUCGAACCUGCUCCCUCAUGGAUACUAGUCAGAUUCGUUUCUGCUGUACCGCAGUGGGAACUCCAAGCACUACAUUAUUUAUUUAUUUAUUUAUUUAUUUAUUGCUUUUUAGGGCCGCACCCACGGCAUAUGGAGGUUCCCAGGCUAGGGGUCAAAUCGGAGCUACAACUGCUGGCCUGUGCCACAGCCACAGAGUGCAGGGUCCGAGCCACGUCUGCACAGCCUACACCACAGGUCACGGCAACAUCACAUCCUUAACCCACUGAGCAAGGCCAGGAAUCGAACCUGUAACUUCGUGGUUCCUAGUCAGAUUCGUUUCUGCUGAGCCAGGAUGGGAGCUCCACUACAUUAUUUUUAUAUAUUAACCCUAAGAGAAAUGACAUCCUUUGGAUAAGGACUCUUGCUAUCCUGGAAUAAAGUACAGUUUACCUUUAAGUCUCGUUGACCUUCAAAUAUUUAAAAAUUUUCUUCAUAUAGAUCUUGCAUGUUUUGUUCUUCAAUAGUAUUAGGUUUAUUCUUAGAUGUUUUAUCCUUUCUGUUGUUAUUCUUGUUCAUUGCUAAAGUUAAACUUUUAAAAAAUGAAUAAUGUGAAGUUCCAUUUUAAAGCAUCGGGUUAAGGAUCUGGUGGUAUUGCCACAGAUGUGGUGCAGGCUAAAACUGAAGCAUUUGUUUGAUCCCUGGCCUGGGAACUUUCACAUGCCACAGGUACAGCUAAAAAAUUUUUUUAAAAUACAAUAAUGUAUUUUAGCCAUACCCACAUGAGAAAUGUUAUUUAGAAAUUUUCACUUUAGCUGUAUUUAUUUCAGUUUCGAUGUAUCCUAGUUUUUAAGAUACUUGAGUCAUUGAUGAGAGAGAUUUUCAUUCAUUCUGUUUUCUGCUAAUAACUGCCUUUGUUGUCUUCACACCCUUUUCUUUCCCUCUGAGCCUUAGUUUCCUCAUUGGAAAAUGAAGAAUGUGGAUCAUAUCUGUAGUUUCUCGUCCAUCUAGAUCUGCCCCUAUUGACUGCGAUAUAAUUAGCCCAUAAAAGCCCUCCUGAUGCUGGGUUCUGUCUGACUCCUAGUGUCUAAGAACUGUGAGCUUUGGACUUUUUCCCUUGUGGCCAGGCUGGUGGCCCACCCCCAAGACAGAAGCUCACCCACUGUCAUCGUCCACAGCUAUCCGUUGAGUUGGGUAGUCAUAAGGUUUAGGGCCCUGGUUUGGAAUUGUUUAAAGUGUCCUACUAUC